UUAGAUAUCGAAGUACUACUGUCAAUUAGAGAAGAAUAGUAAUUCUUUAAUAAACCUUCUUCUAUCUUCUCUUCCUGUAAAGCCUGAUCACUUUCAUCGUUUUCAUGGUUGACUUUUGUUUUGUUACCAACGAUUAGUAUAGGAACCCCACCUUUAGGUAAUGAAUUGAUAGGUUGUGAAAACUGUUGAGGAGGAAGUUGGGAUGAUCCAGUAUGCUGUAACUGAGUAGAAGCUAGCCGAGAAGUGCUUGGAGUUGCACUAAG